rnacentral:rRNA from 1 species
GAUGAACGCUGGCGGCGUGCCUAAUUCAUGCAAGUCGAGCGAACAGACGAGGAGCUUGCUCCUCUGACGUUAGCGGCGGACGGGUGAGUAACACGUGGAUAACCUACCUAUAAGACUGGGAUAACUUCGGGAAACCGGAGCUAAUACCGGAUAAUAUAUUGAACCGCAUGGUUCAAUAGUGAAAGACGGUUUUGCUGUCACUUAUAGAUGGAUUCGCGCCGCAUUAGCUAGUUGGUAAGGUAACGGCUUACCAAGGCAACGAUGCGUAGCCGACCUGAGAGGGUGAUCGGCCACACUGGAACUGAGACACGGUCCAGACUCCUACGGGAGGCAGCAGUAGGGAAUCUUCCGCAAUGGGCGAAAGCUUGACGGAGCAACGCCGCGUGAGUGAUGAAGGUCUUCGGAUCGUAAAACUCUGUUAUUAGGGAAGAACAAAUGUGUAAGUAACUAUGCACGUCUUGACGGUACCUAAUCAGAAAGCCACGGCUAACUACGUG